rnacentral:rRNA from 1 species
UUUGAUCCUGGCUCAGGAUGAACGCUGGCGGCGUGCUUAACACAUGCAAGUCGGACGAUGAAGCCCUUCGGGGUGGAUUAGUGGCGAACGGGUGAGUAACACGUGAGCAACCUGCCCUUGACUCUGGGAUAAGCCUGGGAAGCUGGGUCUAAUACCGGAUAGUACCUUCUGCCGCAUGGUGGGGGGUGGAAAGCCUUGUGCGGUCUUGGAUGGGCUCGCGGCCUAUCAGCUUGUUGGUGGGGUGAUGGCCUACCAAGGCGACGACGGGUAGCCGGCCUGAGAGGGUGACCGGCCACACUGGGACUGAGACACGGCCCAGACUCCUACGGGAGGCAGCAGUGGGGAAUAUUGCACAAUGGGCGCAAGCCUGAUGCAGCGACGCCGCGUGGGGGAUGACGGCCUUCGGGUUGUAAACCCCUUUCGGCAGGGGACAAGCCUUCGGGUGAGGGUACCUGCGGAAGAAGCGCCGGCUAACUACGUGCCAGCAGCCGCGGUAAUACGUAGGGCGCGAGCGUUAUCCGGAAUUAUUGGGCGUAAAGAGCUCGUAGGCGGUUUGUCGCGUCUGCUGUGAAAGCCCGGGGCUCAACCCCGGGUCUGCAGUGGGUACGGGCAGGCUGGAGUGCAGUAGGGGAGACUGGAAUUCCUGGUGUAGCGGUGAAAUGCGCAGAUAUCAGGAGGAACACCGAUGGCGAAGGCAGGUCUCUGGGCUGUAACUGACGCUGAGGAGCGAAAGCGUGGGGAGCGAACAGGAUUAGAUACCCUGGUAGUCCACGCCGUAAACGUUGGGCACUAGGUGUGGGGGGCAUUCCACGUCCUCCGCGCCGCAGCUAACGCAUUAAGUGCCCCGC